rnacentral:tRNA from 1 species
AGAAAAGUAAGCUAAAUAAAGCUAAUGGGUUCAUACCCCAUAAAUAGAGUAUUAACCUCUCUUCUCUG